GUACUCUUUAGCUCAGUCGGUUAGCGCGCUCCUGUAACCAGAGGUACCGGGUUCGAGUCCCGGUGGAGACG
rnacentral:tRNA from 1 species